UCGAACAGACCUAAAUAUCUUAGCUUCUACACCAAAAUUUUAUUUUAAUCCAACAUCGAGGUCGCAAUCUUUUCUUUCGAUUAGAACUCUCAAAAAAAAUUACGCUGUUAUCCCUAAGGUAAUUUUAUCUUUAAAUCUCAAUAAAAGGAUCAAUUAAUCAUACAUCAAUGUUUAAUACAGAAAAAGUUCAUUUAAUUUUUCAAUCACCCCAAUCAAAUUAACUUUUAUAGGAAAAAGGUAAAUUCUUCUACUUUUCCUAUAAAUAUUAAUAAAACUCUAUAGGGUCUUCUCGUCUUUAAUCUUAAUUUAAGCUUUUUAACUUAAAAAUAAAAUUCUAAUAAAUUUAAAUAGAGACAGUCAUUUUCUCAUCUAACCUUUCAUUCCAGCUUUCAAUUAAAAAACUAAUGAUUAUGCUACCUUUGCACGGUCAAAAUACCGCGGCCAUUUAAAACUUCAUUGGGCAGGCUGGACCUUAAAUUAUAAUCAAAAA
rnacentral:rRNA from 1 species